AAGACUAUACUUUCAGGGAUCAUUUCUAUAGUUCGUUACUAGAGAAGUUUCUCUGAAUGUGUAGAACAUCAGAAACCAUGAGGAGGAGGCACAGUGUUGUCUCCCGAGCGUGAAGCCAGGUCCUGGUGUUGCUUCGCUGCAACUGCCAUUUGCCAUUGAUUAUAGUUUUUCUCUUCCUUUGGGAAAGUAAGAGGGAAAGGAUGCAGUCUGAGUGGU
rnacentral:snoRNA from 4 species